UUUUCAGUAUAAGUAUAUCCCAUGCAAUAUUUGGGACAUACUUAUGCUGAAA
rfam:Camelus ferus unplaced genomic scaffold scaffold633, whole genome shotgun sequence.